GCUUGACCUCAAAUCAGGUAGGAUUACCCNCUGAAC
rnacentral:rRNA from 1 species